AUGAUUCAGGAUAUGGCUGGAAGAACGGAUGACACAUUCUUUAUGGCCUGGCUUGCGGUUGCCUUCAGCACUUUUCUAGCACCAACCACGGCCUUGAAGCUCAGCCCAAAGUGUUAUGGACUUGUGCUAGAUCAUCAAAUGCUAAAGAACACAAACAUCUGCCUCUUUGUAGCAGAACACAUUAACGAAGCUUUCCGGAACAUGGACCAGGAGAAGCAAACUGUCUGUUGUUGCUUGUAUCACUUGAUGAUACUAUACCUUGAUGCCCUCGUACAUGACAUCCCAGUAAGCAACUGCACGAUACGAUCGAAUGCAUGGGAAAGUACUCUAAUUGCCAAGGUGAUUAAGGAGGACACUAUCUCUCCUGGUGUGUUCGGCAAAUUACAACUUAAAGAGGAGUAUAGAGGCACGGAGCAGACACCACUGUUUGGUGGAAUUUUGCAAGUUGAAGCAUUCGUGGCAUCCAAGUUACCAAUAACCUACAAUCCGCAGAAAAAGGCAAAGAUUGCGAAAGUGGUCAAUGAACUGUGCAAGGCUGUAACUGAACAGGUUGGCACCUUCAUUGAAGCAGUUGCCAAGAUCGAUGACGAGGAACCAGAUAUUGAUCCUUACGUACAACAGCCAUCAAUGCAAAUUGGGGCGUCACACCGUGCUCCAAAAAGAAAGAGAUGGAGGAGGGGAGGAGGACAAGGAAGAAGAUAG
rnacentral:rRNA from 1 species